rnacentral:rRNA from 1 species
AAAUGAAUAGACGGGGGCCCGCACAAGCGGUGGAGCAUGUGGUUUAAUUCGAUGCAACGCGAAGAACCUUACCAAGGCUUGACAUGGAAAUGACCACUUCAGAGAUGAGGUUUUCCCUUCGGGGACAUUUCACACAGGUGGUGCAUGGUUGUCGUCAGCUCGUGUCGUGAGAUGUUGGGUUAAGUCCCGCAACGAGCGCAACCCUUACGUUCAUUUGCCAUCGGUUAAAGCCGGGAACACUGGACGGACUGCCGUGGAUAACACGGAGGAAGGUGGGGAUGAUGUCAAAUCCUCAUGCCCCUUAUGUCUUGGGCUACACACGUGCUACAAUGGUCUUCAACAAAGUGCUGCAAGGCAGUGAUGCCGAGCGAAUCAUAAAACAGGACCCCAGUUCGGAUUGCAGGCUGCAACUCGCCUGCAUGAAGUUGGAAUCGCUAGUAAUCGCGAAUCAGCAUGUCGCGGUGAAUACGUUCCCGGGCCUUGUACACACCGCCCGU